GACGUAGGGGGCCAGCGUUGUUCGGAAUUACUGGGUGUAAAGGGUUCGUAGGCGGUGUGGCAAGUCGGGAGUGAAAUCUCUGGGCUCAACUCAGAGACUGCUUCCGAAACUGCUGUGCUGGAGUGUGGGAGAGGCGCGUGGAAUUGCAGGUGUAGCGGUGAAAUGCGUAGAUAUCUGGAGGAACACCGGUGGCGAAGGCGGCAUUCUGGACCGAAACUGACGCUGAGGCGCGAAAGCCAGGGGAGCAAACGGG
rnacentral:rRNA from 1 species